UCUCCGUUGGUGAACCAGCGGAGGGAUCAUUACCGAGUUUACAACUCCCAAACCCCUGUGAACAUACCAUUUGUUGCCUCGGCGGUGCCUGCUUCGGCAGCCCGCCAGAGGACCCAAACCCUUGAUUUUAUACAGUAUCUUCUGAGUAAAUGAUUAAAUAAAUCAGAACUUUCAACAACGGAUCUCUUGGUUCUG
rnacentral:misc_RNA from 1 species